AUCGAACGCUGGCGGCAGGCCUAAUACAUGCAAGUCGAGCGGAGCGGCGGACGGGUGAGUAAUGCCUAGGAAUCUGCCUGGUAGUGGGGGAUAACGUCCGGAAACGGGCGCUAAUACCGCAUACCAUCAGCUGUGCCUAGAUGGGAUGAGCUAGUUGGUGGGGUAAAGGCCUACCAAGGCGACGAUCCGUAACUGGUCUGAGAGGAUGAUCAGUUACACUGGAACUGAGACACGGUCCAGACUCCUACGGGAGGCAGCAGUAGGGAAUAUUGGACAAUGGGCGAAAGCCUGAUCCAGCCAUGCCGCGUGUGUGAAGAAGGUCUUCGGAUUGUAAAGCACUUUUAGUUGAGAGGCGUUACCAACAGAGUAAGCACCGGCUAACUUCGUGCCAGCAGCCGCGGUAAUUC
rnacentral:rRNA from 1 species